UGAGUGUUUUUUUAGGCCAAAUAAUUUCUAGAAUUCCAUUUUACAGAAUAUGUGCACUAAUGUAGAUAAUUUGUUCAAAGAUGUUGACUAAAACAUGUUUUAAUAGUAGUCUGAUUCAUAAUACAAAUGACCAUUAAAAGGGAACAAGCUGCAUAAAUCUUUAUUCAGUAGGAAGUGUGCAAACAUCCUUAAAGGAAGCUAGGCUGUAAAGGGAAAGAAAGAGGUCCACAGCCAGAGGGAAGCCAUAGGAGGAAGUAUGUACCAUGAACAACUUUUC
rnacentral:lncRNA from 1 species